CGGCAGAACCAGUGCUGACAGGGUCACCUCGACCAUGAGUCAUGUCUCGGGGAUGAGUAUUGUGAUGACAAGGUUUAGAAAGUAGUGAAUGCUUUCUAUGGCUCUUAGGCCAAGAAUCUCGUCCCCUGCUGCCAUGUGCUGUAUCGUCCACGAGUCCUCGGUCACUCUCUGCAGGUGCCCGUCAUACCGAGUGCCCAUCAUAACAUGUUUCUAACAUAGCCUGCAUUGCCCGGGGCUGGUGUCUCCUCUCCUUGGAAAGACUUUAGGCCAGCCUGCUGAAAGUCUGUCUGCUCUGUGAUGCUAAUUGAGUUUUUCAUCUCCAUCUUUUCUUUAUACUCUCUAUAGUUCCCUAUACUCUCCACGCUUACUGGGUAAAUGACCUAGAAAGUCCAGGACAUGGAUGCACAUGUGUCGGGUUUGAAAGAACCAUUUAAAAAAACCCCCAAAAACCAUUUCUUUACAGCUAGUAGUACCAUACUCUGUAAUUUUCCCAUAGCUACACUUAUUUUAAACUAUUCCUGAGGUGAAGGGAUGUUUAAGUGUGAGGAAAUAUAUUCAACUGUGUAGGUAUUAUUUCCAACAUUUUAUUAUGACAGUUUUCUAACAUACCAAACAGUUGAAGGAAUUUUCCAGUGACUACUCACAUUCCUCCUGGAUUCUACAAUGAACGUUUAUUUCAUCAUGGUUGCUUUCUCACAUCUCUGUCUAUUCAUUCCUUUGUCCUUCUGUGAAUCCAGUUUCUACUUUAAUGCCUUUUGAAGUUGCCCACAUUAGUAUACCUCUUCCCCCCGCCCCAAAUACUUCAUCACGCAUAACAUUAGAGUUCAAUAUUUGUUUGUGGUUCUUGUUUCCUUUUGAGGUAAAAUUCACAUGUGAUGAAAUACACGAAUCUUGAGUGUACCACUUGAUGCUUCCGGACAAAUGAUGCACCUGUGCGACACAAAUCUGUGUCAAGAUAUGAAUGUUAGCAUCAUUCCAGAAGGCUCCGUGUGUCCUUCCCCGGUUAAUUCUACGCCCCGUCCCAUUGUUUUGAAUUUUUUCUGCCAUAGAUGACUUCUGCCUGUUCUAGACCGUCAUAUGAGUGAAAUAAUGCAUGUACAAUUCCUCUUUACAGCUUCUGUCACGCCCCGUAACGUUUGUGAGAUUCAUCCAUGUUGUUGCAUGUAUUGGCAGUUUAUGCCUUUUUAUUGUUGACCAGUAGUCCAUUGUCUGAACAUAUCAUGGUCUGUUUGUUUAUUUUUUUAAGAUUGGCCCUAAGCUAACAUCUGUUGCCAAUCUUCUUUUUCUUCUUCUUCUUCUUCUCCCCAAAGCCCCCCAGUACAUAGCUGUAUAUUCUAGUUGCAGGUCCUUCUGGUUGUGGCAUGUGGGACGACGCCUCAGCAUGGCCUGAUGAGCAGUGCUAAGCCUGCGCCCAGGAUCUGAACCAGGGAAAUCCUGGGUCGCAGAAGCGGAGUGCAAAAACUUAACCACUUGGCCCUGGGGCUGGCCCCUAGAGUCUGUUUAUUAAUUUUCCUUUUUAUGGACACAUGAACUGUGUCCAGUUUGGGGCAGUUAGGCUCUAGGAACAUUCCUCUGCAAGUCUGUUUUGUGGAUGAGUUUUCAUUUCUUGUGGGUAAAUAUGUAGGUGUGAAAUUGCUGGGUCAUAGGGUAAGUGUAUGUUGAUUUUAGAAGAAACUGCCAGACUGUUUUCCAAAGCGGUUGCACCAUUUCACAUUCCCACCAACAAAAUAUGCGAAUUCCAGUUACUCCACAUCCUGCUCAACACUGUUGUUGUCAGUCCAUUUAAUUUUAGCCAUCCUGCUGGAUGUGUAGUGCUUUCUCAUUGUGGUUUUAAUUUGCGUUUCCCUGAUGACUAAUGAUAGUAAGCCUUUCUCAUGUGCUUAGUGGCCAUUGUUAUAUUUUCUUUCAAAAAGUGUCUGUCUGAAGCUUUUGCCCAUUUUUUAAAUUGGGUUUUCUUUUUUUUGUUGAGUUGUAGGAGUUCUUUAUAUAUCUUGGAUAUCAGUUCUUUGUCAGAUAUAUAUUUUACGAAUAUUUUUUCCCAGUUUGGGGUGUGCUUAUUAAUUUUCUUAAUGAUGUCUUUUCAUGAGCAGAAGUUUUAAAUUUUAAUGGACUUGAAUUUAUCAGUUGUAUCUUUUAUGGUUAUUGCUUUCUGUAUUCUGUCUAAAACCAUUGCCUACCUUGCUGGAGAAGAUAUUCUCCAAUCUUUUUGGUAAGGCUUAUAGUUUUAGCUUCUAAAUUUAGGUCUGUACUCCAUCUUGGAUUAACAUUUGUGGAUGGUGUGAAGUAGAGGUUAAGGGCCCUUUUUUCCUGUAUGGACAUGCAGUAGUCCCAAUGCCAUUGUUGAAGAAGCUGUCCUUUCCCUGGUGGGUUCCUUGGGCUCCUUUGUUGAAGCUCAGAUGACCAGUUAAGUGUGGGUCAUUCCUGGGCUCUCUGUCCUUUUCCAUUGAUCUUUCUGGAGAUCCUCUAUGAGUACUACUUAUGUGUUGAUUUCUGUGACUUUAUAAUAAGUGUUGAAAUCGGAAAAUGUGAGUCCUCCCGCCUUAUUCUUUUCCUAGAUAGCUUUGGAUAUUUUAGGUCCUUUGUAUCUCCAUUGUACAAUCAAUUUGUCAGUUUCUAAAGAAAAGCUGGUAGGAUUGUGAUUAGAAUCGCGUUCAAUCUGUAGAUCAAUUGGGGAAGAAGCGAGCACGUGCUGUGUGCCAGACUGUUGUAAAUUCUUGGAUUAAUUACUUCAGUGAACAAGACAAAGAGCCUUGCCUCCGUGGAGCUGACAUUCAGAGGGAAUUUGUUUUCUGUCAGGGUUUGUGUGUUGCUUUGUUUCUGAUGAUGCCCUGAGGAGAGAGUCCUAGAGGUAGAGUUACUGAGUCAGAGAGUAUGAACUUUGUUCAGGCUCUUCAGACACAUGGCCGAUGACUUUCGCCCUGAGCAAGUAUUUAUCCUCUGUGGAACUCGGCAGUACACUCAGCAUUUCGGACUGUAGAACGUGUGAGGAUCCAGUUAGUUCCUGUUCGGAAGGACUUCUUCCAGCUGGGGAGACGAGAUGGCCGUUCAUGAAACAGUUUGAGUCCAGUGCUUGCAGUGAAGCCCAGGUGCUGGGGUGUACCGUGGAGCUCCCUGAUGUCAGCUGCACGCAGUUUCUGGAUCAGCUCAUUGGGUUCUUUCAUUUUUACAACGGUCCUGUUUCUCUGGCUUACAAGAGCUGUUCUCGGGAAGAACUGAGCACCGAGUGGGACACCUUCAUUGAACAAAUUCUGAAAAACACCAGUGAUCUGCAUAAGAUAUUCAAUUCCCUCUGGAACUUGGACCAAACUAAAGUGGAGCCCCUGUUGUUGCUGAAGGCAGCUCUCAUUCUGCAGACCUGCCAGCGCUCGCCUCACAUCCUAGCUGGCUGCAUCCUCUACCAGGGACUGAUUGUUAGCACCCAGCUGCCGCCCUCCCUCACCGCCAAGGUCCUGCUUCGUCGAGCUGCACUUCGGGACCAGAGAACACCUGCAGGAGGGGAGGCCCUGCAGGACCGUGGGGCAGCACUCCCCCUGAAUGUCCAGAUCAUUCCUGUUUUCCUGAGCGAGGAGGAAGCUGUCAGUCUCCGUGAGUUCCCAGGGGAGCCGAUAACUAGUUCUCCUGCGCCUCCAGCCAGACUCCAGGAGCGCGCAUCUGCCCUGAAGGAAGGUGCCACCAGGCAUGUGGAAUCCACGGCCUGGACAGUGGCCACCACCCUGGAGUCCACAUCCCCUGACGUGGCUUGGCCAAAUGGCAGGGGAGAGAAUGGACAUGUGUCUGACCAUCCUGCAGAGCUGCUCGACACGGCCUGGGGAAGGGCUCCUGGUCUCAGCCACUCCCUGGGCGAGCAAGCUGCUUUGUUCAGGGAGACAGAAGACCUGGACUUGUCUGAAAUCCACAUUCCACAAGAUCAGGAAAUGGGAACAUCCUCAGAUUAUUUUGCCUUCCAAUGUGUGUGCGCCCCAGAAGGUGGUGGUCCCCACUGCAAGGAAUCUGUCAGCGACUCUGGCAACCCCGAUCCCAGGCUGCCUGAGACCGUUCCUGUGGGCACAGCCAUCAGUGGCCUCUUCUCUCCCUCCGCUCCGGAGAUGCUCUCCCAGAAUGGAGCCCUAGAACAGUGCAAAGACCUUCCUGGUGACAGCAGCGCAGCCCCCAUUUCCAGGGAAGACUGUCUUUCCAGAAGGACGAGUUGGCCAUUGUCAUCGCCUCCCCUGGAGUCGAGGCAGACAGGAGCUGAGCUUCCCGUGGGCGAUCAAGGCAUGGAACAGGGUGUGGAUGGAGUUCAUGAGAGCUGCUCAGCUCCGCACCUGGAGCGGGGCUCAGGCUCGGCAGACUCUCAGGGCACCCGCCCCCCUGCAGACAGAACUGACUGUGGGUCCACCCCAGCGUCCCGGACGGGCCUUGUGCGGAUGAACCUCUACACUCACAGUGUUAAAGGCCUGGUGCUGUCCCUGCUGGCCGAGGAGCCUCUGCUGGGAGACAGCGCAGCCGUAGAGGAGGUGUACCACAGUAGCCUGGCAUCCCUGAACGGGCUGGAGGUGCACCUGAAGGAGACGCUGCCUGGAGACGAGGCUGCCUCCACGAGCAGGACGUAUAGCUUCGUGCAUCUGGACCGCAUUCAGAACGUGCUGAUGGCAAACCUGCCUCAGGUGGCCACGCCCCAGGACCGCCGCUUCCUCCAGGCCGUCAGCCUGCUGCACUCCGACUUCGCCCAGCUGCCUGCGCUGUAUGAGAUGACCGUCAGAAACGCCUCCGCAGCCGUGUACGCCUGUUGCAACCCCGCCCAGGAAACCUACUUCCAGCAGCUGGCGGCGGCGGCGCGGAGCUCCGGCUUCCCGAGCCCGCAGGACAGCGCCUUCAGCCUCCCGGGCAGGGCCAGGCAGAAGCUGCUGAAGCACGGGGUGAACUUGCUUUGAACUGUGCCCGCAGUGGGAUGCUCUGUACCCCGGGACAUGACUGUCAAUUCGAAUGCCAGCAAAGGAAGCUCUGCCUUCUUAAACGUCCUCUAUUGUGUUCUUCUUGGCGUAUUAUUCCCUUUUUUAGGAAUGUAAUGAUGUUUGAGUGAGUGUUGCUCCUUCUUCAGAGUAUUUUUCAGGUCAGCAGACCUAGAGCUCGUGAUAAAGCCCUUCCUUCCACUGGCUGCUCUGUUGGGCCAGGACGGUGCUGUGGCCCUUUAUACCAAAGAGAGGCCGGGCCAGUUAGUUUCCCUGUCACACUGAGCCCAAGGCAGGUGACAGUCCCUGCUGCUGUUCCAGCCUAGUCUUAUCUAGUACCACAAACAUUGAGCUUGGUGUUUUUCCUAGGACCCCACUGUCUGGUCGAGAGUUUGUCCAGCCCUGUGUCCAGGGGGCGGUAUGAGGUGUGGCCGCACCGGGAGGACAUGGACCGUUGUGCCAGCCGCCUGGACUCCCACUUCCAAGCUAGGCCGUCCUCAGAGCAUCCUCCUGGGAGGGCUGGGCACUUCCUGCAGGGAGGCAGUUAGAGGUGCCAGACCACCGUGUUUGAAUUCCUCUGGGACUGGAUUCCAAACCAGGAGCCUGUUCUCGGGCCUCCCGCAGUGGGGGCAAGUCUUCAGAAGGUGCGUGGAAGGGAGUUUGGGGUCAGAGGUAACCCUGAGGUGCCAGGACGGAGAACCGGCGAUGACAGACAGGCUAGCUCCUGUGGUUACAACUGGGCUGUGCAGCCGGUUCCUCUAGAGUGAGUGUCCCCAGAUGGGAGUUUCCAAAGUGUAUGGGAGCAAAAUCAGAACUGUGCUUUCCAACAGUGUCUGUGUGAACGGGAAGAGCAUUCCUUGGUGGGUCUCCACGCCGGUGUAGUACUUAGAAUAUCAGUCCUAUUACAUAAGAGUCACACAUUUUAUGAUCAGAUGCAGGUCACAGGAUGAAAAUAUUUACCACAGUCUUCACUGAAUGUUUACUGGAAGUACCUGACAUUCCAUUUGAAAUUAUUCCAUUAAUAAUUUCACGUCAGUGAACAAAUAUCUAAUGUUUAUGGAAUGGUGCCUUUUUCUUGAAACAAGUUCCCAAGGGCUAGAAAUAAAACAGCCAGAAAUGCUAUUGAGUCCUGAGUAAUUGAAUAGUAAGGUCUCUAGUGACGAAGUUAAGGGUUAAGAUACUGUGUCUGCAUGUGUGUGUUUUGCGUGGACACAUCUCUCUUUUCCUCCGUGCUCCAGUGUGGCCAGCUGAGGAGGCUGCACUGCAGCAUGGGCGUCUGUCAGGGUGGCGGGCGCAGCCGGCAGCUCCAGCAGCACCAGCUGCAGCGUGGCUGGCCGGCCCACCAGGCCCGGGUCACCCUCUCUUUCACCUCUCCCUGGGGUCCCUCCCGCCACUGGCUGGCCUAAGAGGCCGAUCUUCCCAGAUGGAGGAGGAUCAUACCUCAAGCUAGGAUAAAUGUAUAUCCUCCUACUUCUCUGCAAAGUUCUCCAAGAGAAAAUUCAUCGCCAGUCUCUGUGCCAGCCUCUGAAGGAACCUUCCCAUGACUGACUGACACAUAAUGCAUUCCUUUUCUGUUGUGGGUAUUUUUAAGCAGCCAAACUUUUCCUUUUGCCCACUGAUGCUCCAGAAUUGCGAGGCCCUCAGUCUGAGCUUGGUGAAAUUACAACCUGUCAUGUGUGGAAACGGACAGAACUGGGAGCCCAGAGCCCACAUUCCUCCGCUCACCAGUAGUUCCCUGACUGCCUGUGUUCGAGGACGCGUCCACACAAGGUCUGCUUCACGAGAAAACCGCUUGGUUGUCUCUGGGCCCUUGCCUAGAUACCAGGCCAUUGGCAGAUCUUCAUCUUAGUUGCUUUGCUUUCAGAAACCUCUCUUCCCAUCUAAUGUCCCAGGGCUGCCGCUGGUCUAAAAAUGCUUUUAAUACAAGCAUUUGGGUUUUGAGAAGCAGUGCCUGAGGCAGCCAGGUGCUUCCCUUUAAGUUGCAUCUCAACAAUCAAAUGAAGAGCCUGAGGUCAGGAAGACCCACAUACAAUGGUCACUUUAGAAUACGUCCACAAGUUCUGUGCUACAAAUUAGGGACCUAAUUGUCCUCUCUUGAGUGUGGGCUGUACUUAGUGAUUCAUUUCUGAUGCAUAGAAUGUGGUGAAAAUGGCAGCAUGACAUCUGAGAGUCGGUUAUAAAACACAUGACAGCUUCCAUCUCUCUCGGUUCACCUGUUUUGGGAGACGCUGCCGUUCAGGCAGCCCUACGGGGAAGCCCUCAUGAUGACGGUCUCCUGCUGACAGCCGCGUGAAUGGGCCUUCUUGGAGGCAGGUCCUCCAGCCCCGGUCAGGCCUUCAGAUGACUGCAGCCUUAGGAGGAACUGCCCAGACCGUCAGGCUAAGCCACUUCUGAAUUCCUAGCCCUCAGAAGGUGUGGGAGAUAAUAAAGCCGGCGUCAGCCUGGAGAGUGGCCUCUGGCGUGUGCAUUUCCGCUGUUCCUGCCGAGCCUCGAGGCCCGGCCGUCAACCCCAGUCUAGCCUCCAGCCCUCUGCUGUGGCCGCUCCAGCACAUUCCCCUCCGCUCCAGCUGGCGUCCCUGGUGCCACGCCGAGGAAGACAGUUGUAUAGCGUUCUCUGUGUUGUGAGCCUUCCACUCCCACCGAGAUCUAACCCUACACAUCCCGCCCCUUGUCUACGGAAAAGGACCCCCCAAGGCUCUUCCACUCAGGAUUAAUUCAGAAGAGCGCAAGUCCA